AGUCCUACGGGGGGCAGCAGUGGGGGAUAUUGCACAAUGGGGGGAACCCUGAUGCAGCGACGCCGCGUGAACGAAGAAAUAUUUCGGUAUGUAAAGUUCUAUCAGCAGGGAAGAAAAUGACAGUACCUGACCAAGAAGCCCCGGCUAACUACGUGCCAGCAGCCGCGGUAAUACGUAGGGGGCAAGCGUUAUCCGGAUUUACUGGGUGUAAAGGGAGCGUAGACGGCGGCGCAAGUCCGGAGUGAAAGCCCACGGCCCAACCGUGGGACUGCUCUGGAAACUGUGCGGCUUGA
rnacentral:rRNA from 1 species